rnacentral:rRNA from 1 species
AAAUUGAAGAGUUUGAUCAUGGCUCAGAUUGAACGCUGGCGGCAGGCCUAACACAUGCAAGUCGAACGGUAACAGGAAGCAGCUUGCUGCUUCGCUGACGAGUGGCGGACGGGUGAGUAAUGUCUGGGAAACUGCCUGAUGGAGGGGGAUAACUACUGGAAACGGUGGCUAAUACCGCAUAAUGUCGCAAGACCAAAGAGGGGGACC